AUCUUAUCAAGAGCAGGUGGAGGGAACAAGCCCUACGAAGCCCGGCAACCGACUUCAAUUACGAAGCACGGUGCUAAGUCUUGCAGUCAUUCGGCUGAGAGAUAAGAA
rnacentral:ncRNA from 1 species